rnacentral:rRNA from 1 species
CCCUAUGGGGUGCACCAAGAACAAUCCCGUUUUGGUGGGCGAGCCGGGCGUCGGCAAAUCCGCGAUCGCGGAGGGGCUGGCGCAGCGUAUCGUGGAGGGCAACGUGCCCGAGCUGCUGCGCGAAAAACGCGUCGUGUCGCUCGACCUCGCGGGUAUGAUCGCGGGGACGAAAUACCGCGGCGAGUUCGAGGUUCGUUUCAAGGAAGCUUUGAAGGAGCUGCAGAACUCCGGCAGGGUGGUUCUGUUCAUCGACGAAAUUCAUACCAUCGUCGGCGCAGGCGCGGCGGAAGGCGCGAUGGAUGCGGCAAGCAUCUUAAAGCGGGCGCUGGCGCGCGGCGAAAUCCAGGUGAUCGGCGCGACGACCUUCGACGAGUACCGCAAGCACAUCGAGAAGGACGCGGCGCUGGAGCGGCGCUUCCAGCCCGUAACCGUGGGAGGGC